rnacentral:rRNA from 1 species
UACAGGGGGGGCAAGCGUUGUUCGGAAUUACUGGGCGUAAAGGGCUCGUAGGUGGCCAACUAAGUCAGACGUGAAAUCCCUCAGCUUAACUGGGGAACUGCGUCUGAUACUGGAUGGCUUGAGUUUGGGAGAGGGAUGCGGAAUUCCAAGUGUAGCGGUGAAAUGCGUAGAUAUCUGGAGGAACACCGGUGGCGAAGGCGGCAUCCUGGACCAACACUGACACUGAGGGGCGAAAGCCAGGGGAGCAAACGGG